rnacentral:misc_RNA from 1 species
UCCCCGUUACCGAGGCAGUCUUGCUAGAAAAAUUCAACUAGCAAUGAGGGUUGCGCUCGUUGAAGGACUUAACCUAACAUCUCACGACACGAGCUGACGACGGCCAUGCAUCACCUGUCACUGGUCCAGCCGAACUGACUUCCUAAUUUCUUAGGAAUACGACCAGGAUGUCAAGACUUGGAUAAGGUUCUUCGCGUACCCUCGAAUUAAACAACACGCUCCACCGCUUGUGCGGGUCCCCGUCAAUUCCUUUAAGUUUUAGCCUUGCGGCCGUACUACCCAGGCGGGAUGCUUAACGCGUUAGCUUCGCUACUCAAACGGGUCGAUACGUUCGAGCAGCCAGCAUCCAUCGUUUACGGCGUGGACUAC